AUGUGACCUCGUUUGACGUGCAGAAGCAUAUGUGGACGGAUUGCUUUGCAAAGGCAAAUGCUCCCUAUCACCAGACCCAGACAGGAAUCUCCAGUUAUAUCAAAAAGGGCAUUAAUACUAAGAAGAUAAUAUUGAUUGUUCCAUGGUUUGGUUAUGAUUAUACUUGCAUUCGUUUAAUUGAGGCAGGUAGAUGUGAAUUACAAAAGAUAGCUUUUGAAGGAGCGCCCUGCAGUAA